GGACCCUUAGCUCAGCGGUAGAGCAUCUGAUUCCAGCGUUCUGCGCAAUCAGCAUCCAGAAGGUCGUCCGUUCAAUCCGGGCAGGGUUCA